rnacentral:rRNA from 2 species
UGCUGGAGGUAUCAGAAGUGCGAAUGCUGACAUAAGUAACGAUAAAGCGGGUGAAAAGCCCGCUCGCCGGAAGACCAAGGGUUCCUGUCCAACGUUAAUCGGGGCAGGGUGAGUCGACCCCUAAGGCGAGGCCGAAAGGCGUAGUCGAUGGGAAACAGGUUAAUAUUCCUGUACUUGGUGUUACUGCGAAGGGGGGACGGAGAAGGCUAUGUUAGCCGGGCGACGGUUGUCCCGGUUUAAGCAUGUAGGCUGGUUGUCCAGGCAAAUCCGGAUAAUCAAGGCUGAGGUGUGAUGACGAGGCACUACGGUGCUGAAGUAACAAAUGCCCUGCUUCCAGGAAAAGCCUCUAAGCAUCAGGUAACAUCAAAUCGUACCCCAAACCGACACAGGUGGUCAGGUAGAGAAUACCAAGGCGCUUGAGAGAACUCGGGUGAAGGAACUAGGCAAAAUGGUGCCGUAACUUCGGGAGAAGGCACGCUGGUGUGUAGGUGAAGUCCCUGCGGAUGGAGCUGAGACCAGUCGAAGAUACCAGCUGGCUGCAACUGUUUAUUAAAAACACAGCACUGUGCAAACACGAAAGUGGACGUAUACGGUGUGACGCCUGCCCGGUGCCGGAAGGUUAAUUGAUGGGGUUAUCCGUAAGGAGAAGCUCUUGAUCGAAGCCCCGGUAAACGGCGGCCGUAACUAUAACGGUCCUAAGGUAGCGAAAUUCCUUGUCGGGUAAGUUCCGACCUGCACGAAUGGCGUAAUGAUGGCCAGGCUGUCUCCACCCGAGACUCAGUGAAAUUGAACUCGCUGUGAAGAUGCAGUGUACCCGCGGCAAGACGGAAAGACCCCGUGAACCUUUACUAUAGCUUGACACUGAACAUUGAGCCUUGAUGUGUAGGAUAGGUGGGAGGCUUUGAAGCGUGGACGCCAGUCUGCGUGGAGCCAACCUUGAAAUACCACCCUUUAAUGUUUGAUGUUCUAACGUUGGCCCCUUACCGGGGUUGCGGACAGUGUCUGGUGGGUAGUUUGACUGGGGCGGUCUCCUCCCAAAGCGUAACGGAGGAGCACGAAGGUUAGCUAAUCCUGGUCGGACAUCAGGAGGUUAGUGCAAUGGCAUAAGCUAGCUUGACUGCGAGCGUGACGGCGCGAGCAGGUGCGAAAGCAGGUCAUAGUGAUCCGGUGGUUCUGAAUGGAAGGGCCAUCGCUCAACGGAUAAAAGGUACUCCGGGGAUAACAGGCUGAUACCGCCCAAGAGUUCAUAUCGACGGCGGUGUUUGGCACCUCGAUGUCGGCUCAUCACAUCCUGGGGCUGAAGUAGGUCCCAAGGGUAUGGCUGUUCGCCAUUUAAAGUGGUACGCGAGCUGGGUUUAGAACGUCGUGAGACAGUUCGGUCCCUAUCUGCCGUGGGCGCUGGAGAAUUGAGGGGGGCUGCUCCUAGUACGAGAGGACCGGAGUGGACGCAUCACUGGUGUUCGGGUUGUCAUGCCAAUGGCACUGCCCGGUAGCUAAAUGCGGAAGAGAUAAGUGCUGAAAGCAUCUAAGCACGAAACUUGCCCCGAGAUGAGUUCUCCCUGAGACUUUAAGUCUCCUGAAGGAACGUU